rnacentral:rRNA from 1 species
CAUCCCGCGUGUGCGAAUUGAACGGCCUUCGGGUUGUAAAGCACUUUUGGCAGGAAAGAAAGCGUCAUGGGUUAAUACCCCGUGAAACUGACGGUACCUGCAGAAUAAGCACCGGCUAACUACGUGCCAGCAGCCGCGGUUAAUACGUAGGGUGCAAAGCGUUAAAUCGGAAAUUACUGGGCGUAAAGCGUGCGCAGGCGGUUUCGGAAAGAAAGAUGUGAAAUCCCAGAGCUUAACUUUGGAACUGCAUUUUUAACUACCGGGCUAGAGUGUGUCAGAGGGAGGUGGAAUUCCGCGUGUAGCAGUGAAAUGCGUAGAUAUGCGGAGGAACACCGAUGGCGAAGGCAGCCUCCUGGGAUAACACUGACGCUCAUGCACGAAAGCGUGGGGGAGCAAACAGGAUUAGAUACCCUGGUAGUCCACGCCCUAAACGAUGUCAACUAGCUGUUGGGGCCUUCGGGCCUUGGUAGCGCAGCUAAACGCGUGAAGUUGACCGCCUGGGGAGUACGGUCGCAAGAUUAAAAACUCAAAGGAAUUGACGGGGGACCCGCACAAGCGGGUGGAUGAUGUGGAUUAAAUUCGAUGCAACGCGAAAAAACCUUAACCUACCCUUGACAUGUCUGGGAAAUGCCGAAAGAGAUUUGGCAGUGCUCGCAAGAAGAACCCGGGAACACAGGUGCUGCAAUGGGCCUGGUCGUCCAGCCUCGUGUCGUGAGAUGUUGGGUUAAGUUCCCGCAACGAGGCGGCCAAUCCCUU